UACGGAGAGUGCAAGCGUUAAUCGGAAUUACUGGGCGUAAAGCGCACGUAGGUGGAAUCUUAAGUCAGAUGUGAAAUCCCCGGGCUUAACUUGGGAAUUGCAUUUGAUACUGAGGUUCUAGAGUAUAGUAGAGGGAAGUGGAAUUUCCGGUGUAGCGGUGAAAUGCGUAGAUAUCGGAAAGAACACCAGUGGCGAAAGCGGCUUCCUGGACUAAUACUGACACUGAGGUGCGAAAGCGUGGGGAGCAAACAGG
rnacentral:rRNA from 1 species